rfam:Loxodonta africana unplaced genomic scaffold scaffold_145, whole genome shotgun sequence.
GAGGGAGGAGGGUUGACACUGCUCUGCUGGGGCCACCGACAUGGGCGCGGGCGAGAAGGAAUGUGCCUGACGGGUGUGGGGGGAGUGCAGCCAGCUGUGGGUUUUUCUUGGGGCCCAGAGAGACACAGGCAGAGGUGGCCGCUCCACUCCCCCGGCCUGCACCGUACACACUAAGACCUUUCUUCA